rnacentral:rRNA from 1 species
UACAGAGGUGGCAAGCGUUGUUCGGAAUUACUGGGCGUAAAGGGCGCGUAGGCGGCCCGUCAAGUCCCGUGUGAAAGCCCCCGGCUCAACCCAGGAAGUGCACUCGAAACUGGCGGGCUUGAAUAUGGAAGAGGGUCGCGGAAUUCCCGGUGUAGAGGUGAAAUUCGUAGAUAUCGGGAGGAACACCAGUGGCGAAGGCGGCGACCUGGGCCAAUAUUGACGCUGAGGUGCGAAAGCGUGGGGAGCAAACAGG